rnacentral:rRNA from 1 species
UACGUAGGGAGCAAGCGUUGUCCGGAAUCAUUGGGCGUAAAGCGCGCGUAGGCGGCCCUGUAAGUCCGUUGUGAAAGUCAAAGGCUCAACCUUUGAAAGCCGAUGGAUACUGCAGGGCUAGAGUCCGGAAGAGGCGAGUGGAAUUCCUGGUGUAGCGGUGAAAUGCGCAGAUAUCAGGAAGAACACCAAUGGCGAAGGCAGCUCUCUGGGACGGUACUGACGCUGAGACGCGAAAAGCGUGGGGAGCGAACAGG